AUAGAAUAACGAGUGAGAAAUUCAAAAUCAAACAGCUCUGGUUAAUCAGUCACCAUUUGUGGUCUUACCUCCAAAUACCAACUUCAGUGAUUGGAUAGUUCUUCAUAUUUCUCAUCAAUUCCUUGAAUUCUUUCGUCGGCUAUGGCUGUAGAUGAGGAUAUGGCCCCUAAGAAGAAGAAAGAGCCCACUGAAAACGAGAAGAGGAGAAUGAAAAUUGU
rnacentral:misc_RNA from 1 species